CAGCAGCCGCGGGAAUACGAAGGGUGCAAGCGUUAAUCGGAGUUACUGGGCGUAAAGCGUGCGUAGGCGGUGAGUUAAGUCUGCUGUGAAAUCCCCGGGCUCAACCUGGGAAUGGCAGUGGAUACUGGCUCGCUAGAGUGUGUCAGAGGAUGGUGGAAUUCCCGGUGUAGCGGUGAAAUGCGUAGAGGUCGGGAGGAACAUCAGUGGCGAAGGCGGCCAUCUGGGACAACACUGACGCUGAGGCACGAAAGCGUGGGGAGCAAACAGGAUUAGAUACCCGAGUAGUCCCUGUCUCUUAUAC
rnacentral:rRNA from 1 species